rnacentral:rRNA from 1 species
CGGCGAGUGAAGCGGCAACAGCUCAAAUUUGAAAUCUGGCUCUUUCAGAGUCCGAGUUGUAAUUUGCAGAGGGCGCUUUGGCGUUGGCAGCGGUCCAAGUUCCUUGGAACAGGACGUCACAGAGGGUGAGAAUCCCGUACGUGGUCGCUGGCCUUCGCCGUGUAAAGCCCCUUCGACGAGUCGAGUUGUUUGGGAAUGCAGCUCUAAAUGGGAGGUAAAUUUCUUCUAAAGCUAAAUACUGGCCAGAGACCGAUAGCGCACAAGUAGAGUGAUCGAAAGAUGAAAAGCACUUUGGAAAGAGAGUCAAAUAGCACGUGAAAUUGUUGAAAGGGAAGCGCUUGCAGCCAGACUUGCCUGUAGUUGCUCAUCCGGGCUUUUGCCCGGUGCACUCUUCUGUAGGCAGGCCAGCAUCAGUUUGGACGGUUGGAUAAAGGACUCUGUCACGUACCUCCUUUCGGGGAGGCCUUAUAGGGGAGUCGUCAUGCAACCAGUCUGGACUGAGGUCCGCGCAUCUGCUAGGAUGCUG